AAGGAAAUGAUGGAAAAGGUCACAUUAGAGAGUGAAAUGAUAAAAAUGUCACCUAGUUUCCCACUUGAUAAAAAGGUCCAUAAUGAAUUGUUAAUAAUAUUAAUUUAGUCCUUAUGAAUAAUGAGGUGAUGUUAAAAAAAGUCAGUUUUUAAUUUUUCUGAUUCCCAUUCUACCCUUAAAGCCUAAUACACGUUUAUAACUUUAAUACACUAAACCCCAACCUCUAUACCUCCGAUGUCGUCCAAAACCUACGCCUCUAAUGUCCUCCAAGUCUCCUUCCAAAUCGAACAGCUGCCGAUCACCGCAGCUCUCUCCAAGUUCUUCUUCUAUGUCCUCUCUCAGAGCCUCGUCGUCGAGUUGAUGUCGCGGACUUCGAGGUUCCGAAACGGCGUAGUUUCGAUUACGGAAGCAGUGCGGUUUGGGUUUCGAAGAAUUCAAUGAAGCUGGAAGACUGGAGUGAAGCUCUAACAUAUUGCAGAUUGACCAUUGCUGUGUAUCACAACACAAAUGUGCUGCAAAGAACAUGGCCUAUUGUGGAAUCAGCCUUAGAAGAGUAUGGCCUUCAUGCACUCUGGAUCUGAGAAACCAAGACGUCCUUAUGAGAAGGAACAUGUGGAUGUUGAGCUAAAGCUUGUUAGAGAAUAUGGGUUUCGGUGCAAGAGGGAGUUGUGGAGGGUCUAGUAUAUGCUUUGACCCGCAUCCUUAAUGCUGCUAUGGAACUUCUUACCCUGGACAAGAAAAACUCUCGCCGUAUCUUCAGACCCAGUUGUGGUUAUAUUUUAUUUUGUUCAAUGUGCUUAUGGGAGGUUGUUCUAAUUGGAAAAAGUGUUGUGGUUGUACUUUGACUAAAAUCACUUGAAAUCUUCCUGGAAUCACAAUAAAAUCUUCUUACUAAU